UCCCUCGUGGCGCAAUUGGCUAGCGCGUUCGACUGUUAAUCAGACGAUCGAGAGGUUGAUGGUUCGAGCCCAUCCGAGGGAG